rnacentral:rRNA from 1 species
AACCUGGUUGAUCCUGCCAGUAGUGUAUGCUUCUCCUAAAGACUAAGCCAUGCAUGUCUUCGAAUAAGAGGAAGCAAUUCUCUCUGAAUCUGCGAACGGCUCCGCAAACCAGUUGUAAACUAUAGCAAGUAAGCCCGGGCUCCUUCUCACGAGGGGGUUCGGGUGAUAUGGAUAACCCUGGUAAUUCUGAGGCUAAUACGAGAACGUAAUACUCGACGGACCGGUGCAAACUGGGAAGUUGGGAGACGUGCAACUAGAAGUCGCGGGAAACGCCGGGAAAGGAUGCACGCCUGGACCGCUAUUCAAAACGGAUGACCUACACUUGCCCUUCACUGGGCCGGAGGAAGUUGCCCGAGCGGCUCUUGCAAUGUGCUUCUGACCUAUCAACUAGACGGCAGCGUAAAGGACAUGCUAUGGUUACAACGGGUACAGAGGAUUAGGGUUCGAUCCUGGAGAGUGGGCCUGAGAGAUUGCUCAUACUUCUAAGGAAGGCAGCAGGCGCGCAACGUUCCCCUUGUACAAAGUAUGAGGGCGUUAGGGGACAUAUGGAUGCCUGCCCAUAGGGUGGGCAAUUCAAAUGG